AAUAUUUUUUGUAACGUUUUUGACAAUAUGGGUUCCAUGCAAUUCAAGCAAUGUUCCAGACAUUAUGCAUAUCCAAUUGCUUAAUUUUUUAAGGAUAGUAUUUAGAUUAUCUAUAAGGUGCGCAUACCGUGCUCUCAUCGUUCGUCUAUCCUUGCCCUUUCUAUAUCUCCAGGUCAAUUGCCUCUCCUUGCAAAGACACAGUCAUGGCGGAUGCAAAUAUGAAUAAUCACCAUGGAAAGGAAUGCGAUUGUUGUUGCAAAAAUGCUUAUGGAGUAGCAGAAUCUAUGGAAGAAAUGGAUUUUAAUCGAAGUUUAUGGGGAGCAUGCGUGAUUGGUGAUUUAGAGCGAAUAGAGAGGUUGAUUUCCAAGGGAGUUGAUGUCAAUGCUGAGGAUUCAUAUGGAUAUUCGCCCCUGCACUAUGCUGCCCGGAAUGGCCAUAGCCAAGCUUGCUCGGUUCUAUUGAAGAAUGGAGCAUUUGUGAAUAAGAAAUUAAGAUCAGGUCAGGCAACUAGUCUGCACCGUGCAGCAUAUGCAGGUCAUGAAGAAGUUGUAAAAGUUCUCCUUGCUGCUGCUGCAGAUCCAUGUGCUCAAGAUUCUUAUGGUUGUACUCCGUUGCAUAAAGCAGUGAAACAAGGACAUGAGCGCAUUGCCAGUAUGCUAACAAAUGUCAACAAGAAGGUUUCUGAGAUACGAGACAAUAAGGGCCUCUUGCCGAGUGACUAUUAGAAGAUCCUAUACACCUAGAUAGGAAAGUGAAAUGAUAAGUUGUAUGAGCAAUGGGGAUACUUUCCUGAUGCAGCAUUGUAGGACAACUUUGAUAUUCUUAGAAGAGGUGGCAGAAAUGAAACCUACCCUUGACAGAAAUAAAUCCUCUGUUUUUACAAAACUGCCCAUUUAAGAAGAACGGUUGUUUCAAAACUGCCAUUUGAUAGUUAUGAAACUGCCCCUCUACUGUUCACAAAAUCUUGUAGUUUGUGGAGGCCAUAACUUUUGCAUACAUACAUUUUUGAGAGAACCGCAUAUGUUUUUAAAAAUGGACUUCUGAUUAAGCAUAACCCAUGUUUAGCCCUUUUGAAGUUGAUAGUGUUUUUUUCAACUUGUCUUUCUUUUAUUGAUCUAGACAUGUCUUGGAGUAUAUGGAGCA